AUACCCAAUGGUGAUGGAUGGGGAUGCGUCUGAUUAGCUUGUUGGCGGGGUAACGGCCCACCAAGGCGACGAUCAGUAGGGGUUCUGAGAGGAAGGUCCCCCACAUUGGAACUGAGACACGGUCCAAACUCCUACGGGAGGCAGCAGUGAGGAAUAUUGGUCAAUGGGCGAGAGCCUGAACCAGCCAAGUAGCGUGCAGGAUGACGGCCUAUGGGUUGUAAACUGCUUUUAUAAGGGAAUAUGUACCUUAUGAAUAAGGACCGGCUAAUUCCGUGCCAGCAGCCGCGGUAAUACGGAAGGUCCGGGCGUUAUCCGGAUUUAUUGGGUUUAAAGGGAGCGUAGGCCGGAGAUUAAGCGUGUUGUGAAAUGUAGAUGCUCAACAUCUGCACUGCAGCGCGAACUGGUUUCCUUGAGUACGCACAAAGUGGGCGGAAUUCGUGGUGUAGCGGUGAAAUGCUUAGAUAUCACGAAGAACUCCGAUUGCGAAGGCAGCUCACUGGAGCGCAACUGACGCUGAAGCUCGAAAGUGCGGGUAUCGAACAGGAUUAGAUACCCUGGUAGUCCGCACGGUAAACGAUGGAUGCCCGCUUUGGU
rnacentral:rRNA from 1 species